rnacentral:lncRNA from 10 species
GUUCCUUACGGAGGUGUAGAAAAUCUGUAGCAUGAUGUAAUGUGUUUUAUUAAAUAUGCAAAUAUUAACCUACUCAAUCCUCAUAAAAACUCAGUGGUGAACUGACUGUUGGCCUGGCAGAUGAGAAGUUUUACUCCCCCACUCUCCAGUGAAACUGGUGAAAAGUAUUUUUAAAGGAAUUAAGAAUGGGUCAAUGAAAUAUACAGCUCCUUUCUGGAAUGUACCUGUUCUGCUACAACCAUGGAUAUCCUGACCUUUCUGUGCCUUUCAGGGACAAGGGUAAUAGAGGAGUUUCAGACUCCCUCUAAAACAAAACAACAACUGAACAAUAAACAACAGAAAAAGAACACAAAAAAAGACGGUGGUACUCUUUCCCCUUUCCUUGCUUUCUCCUGCUACCAAAACAAACAACAAAAACUACAUUGUCUCAUUGGAUGACGAAGCUAAAAUUUUGUAGCAAAUCUAUAGAAGAAAAGAAGUGGAAAUCUACUCAAGAGCUACUGUAAAACACUGUAUACAAAACAACCACUUUGAUUCACAUUAAAAAGUGUUAUCUGUUUCUUUGAAUUCAUAAGCUAGAUAUUAAUCCAUCUUUAGAAGAGAAGAAAGCAAAGAUCGUAGAUGACAAGUCUUGCUUUCUUGUAAGUAUCUUUGAAUCUGUAUGUUUGCCAUCACAAGUUCUCAGAUCAAUUAACUAUUGUUUACUUCCAAAAAAAAUCUGGCAUGGCUUAUGAAGAUGUAUAUAUAUAACAACAUCAGUAUGAAUGGGAUAAUACAACAAGACCAAGGGAAACUAAACUUGUGUAAUUAUUGAAGGUAGUAAGCAUCUAACAGACAUUUUGUCUGUUGUAGUUUAGAUUUAAAUUUGCCACUGAAAUCAGCCUCUUCUUGGGGAUUUCCUGCUUGUACUGAUGAGCCAAUACCCCUCCCUUUAUACUCAUUUUCACAGAAAUUCUUUGCUAAUUCAUUGCCUAGCUCGCUCUGUAACAUUCAUAACCAUCUUCAACACCACCUCCAGACUGACUGCAGUUUGACAUAAAAAAUGGCCUUAGAAAAGGCUCUGGCUGGGAAAUUUCAUUCCAGCAUGGCAGAAAUGUAAAGAGUCUGUUGUGAUAUAAGUACUAUUUAUCAGGCUCCUAUAAAUCUCCUUAGCAUAGUCAGCAGAGUCCAAGAUACAAACUUCCUAGCAAGUCUGCAGGUAAAUUCAGAUAAAGCAAUCACAACUUGGCCUGGGGAGUGGAUUCAUGCUCUCUAGAAUAAGAGUUGCAUGGUGUGCAAAAAGAUUCUGCAAAAAGAGUCAAAA